rnacentral:rRNA from 1 species
AACCUGCCCAAGAGAUCGGGAUAACACCUGGAAACAGAUGCUAAUACCGGAUAAUAACAGAUGAUGCCUAUCAACUGUUUAAAAGAUGGUUCUGCUAUCACUCUUGGAUGGACCUGCGGUGCAUUAGCUAGUUGGUAGGGUAACGGCCUACCAAGGCGAUGAUGCAUAGCCGAGUUGAGAGACUGAUCGGCCACAUUGGGACUGAGACACGGCCCAAACUCCUACGGGAGGCAGCAGGGG